rnacentral:lncRNA from 1 species
CUCGCAAACAUGGACAGAUUAAAUACACUACAUUCUGUCCUUUUCACCAUCUGCUUCUUGCUUAUUUUAUUUUAAGCUGCAUGACUAAACUUUAUUAUCUGACGGACGGGUGAAGGUGGGCCCUGCUGCUGCUGUGCUCUACUCCUUGAGGCUUGGAAUGAAUGCAAAGUUGCAGGGCUGAUCUGCAAAGGGAUUAGAAAUCUCCGGACCAUUAGGAGACGUUGACUUGUUGAAGACGGAUGGAAAGCCGAGAGCCUGCCCACCGCCGGGCCACCAGCCAGCACCAAGGGGACGCGAAAGAGGAAGUCCUCCUCUCAGCCAAGACCCAGAAGCCCUAAGAAGUGUCCGAAAAUAGCGAAGAAGGGAAAAGCAACUCGUCGAGGGAGAGCCAGGAAGAAAAGUGCUCCAAAAAAGACCGCGGCUGUAAGAACACCUGAGGAAGGGAGCGGGCCAGCACCAUCCGGCCCCAGUGUCCCGCUGAACCAGGAGCUCCCUCAGCAUGAGCUGCGGCCGGAGCCACCGAGUGAGGGGACCCAGCCAGAGGAAAAACUGAGUAAGGGGACCUAGCUGGAAGAGCAAGUGAAUGAGGGGACCCAGCCCGACCCACUGAGUGAGGGGACGCAGGCGGAGGAACAGAGUGAGGGGACACAGCCAGACCCACUGAGUGAGGGGACACAGCCGGACCCACUGAGUGAGGGGACACAGCCGGACCCACUGAGUGAGGGGACUGCAACCAACUCCAUUCUCUCCCUGAGCAGCGAGUAACUUCAGGCCCAGCCCGGAGACCUAGGAGCCACCGGAGGUCUGACCCAGAGAACUCACCAACAGGGUGCGCCCCAUGGUGAAAAUAAAAUGAAUCUGUUAGAGAGAGAGAGACAGAGAACUCCCUCCACUUUUUUUCCCCAAGUCACCACCACUUCUGACACUAUCUUUUUCUCUAGCGUUCUGCUGUUGUGGUCCCUGGCGCAUGCUUGUUUCACAAAACGCCAAGAGUAGAUCAGUGGAUGUCAUUGGGAAAAAAAACAAAAAAAUAAAAAAACAGAAAGUUUACCAUUUCUCAAUGUUUACUAAAGUGACAUCCUAAUAAUACACCUUUUAAGGCAAAGCAUGGGGAAGAACCACAAUGGUCAGCUAGGAAAACACCAAAUGAUUCAAUUAAGUUGGAAAUACUCAUUUAGUUGAGUGGACAUCUGUCAACCUUAAUCUGGUUCAGUACAAUGCUAAUUCUAUAUUGACUCCAAUUUUAUGAAUUUGUUGUUGGUAUAAGACUAUAGGCUUACUAAUAUUCUCAUAAAUGUGGCACAUUACCAGGAUAUUCCUCUUUCAACUGUUUUAGUGAUUAAUGGAAAGAAGUUGUUUAGAGGGAACAAAAUAUUCAUAUAAAAUUAGCAACAGGAACCAUUUGCACAAAUGAGCUAAAAAGUAAAAAGUGUACAGAGGAAUAAAAAAGAGCAAAAAGAUUUGGGAGGCCGAGUAGGGUGGAUCACCUGAGGUCAAGAAUUUGAGACUAGCCUGGCCAUACCAUGGCGAAACCCCAUCUCUACUCAAAAUACAAAAAAUUAGCUGGGUGUGGUGGCAGGCACCUGUAAUCCCAGCUACUCAGGAGGCUGAGGCAUGAGAAUCAUUUGAACCCAAGAAGCCAAGGUUGCAGUGACCCGAGAUUGUGCCAUUGCACUCCAGCUUG